UAGAGAAUGAGUUGAAAAUUAAUAAAUAAAAAAACCAAAACUUUAAGAAAGAUUGUAUUUAUAGUUAAAGAUAAGAAGGGUUUUUAAUGGUCAUUAGAAUUUUAUUAAUUUUGGUCUUAUGUAUGCUUAUAAUUUUAUAGAAACAUAUUUAGUGUACACACUUAUUGAACCUAAUAUAAAUCAUAUGUUUAAUAUUGAUCUAAAGGAUUUUCAACAUUUUUAUCUAGAAAAAUUAUCAUAUGAUAUUGAAAAUUGGAUAAUAUCUAUUCUUUAUUUUGUUGUAUGUAUAAGAUUAAUAUUAACUUUGGAUUUGGUAUGAAGAUUUGAGAAAAGAUUUAACUCUAGAGGGAUUUGAUCCCUCAAAAUUAUGAAUUUAGGGUUAAGAUGGAUCCAGGUUAGCUUAUAUAUAUAUAUAGAGAGAGAGAGAGCAAUUAUUGCUAAUGAUUGUGGGCAUUUGUUUAGUUAUGUGUCAAUAAGUGUUCAAUUUGAAUCUUCUUGGGUGAGAUACACUAGUCUACACUAAUGAGUUUACUAGGGAUGCCAUCCACAAAUGUGGGGAAGCAUCCCUUGGGGUUCACAACAAGGUUUUCCUUUAGACACACACACACAGAUUUUAAGCUAUCAAGCCAACUUCGAAAUAUUAUUAUUUUUAUUCUAAAAAAUUUAUUGGCUUGACAUUAGUGUUACACAUGGACAUUACACGUCUCCUCCAUAUAUGACUAUAGAAUGCGCCUUUUAGCAUAACAAGAUGGAAACCAAGUCAUCAUGCCCCUUACGCCCCGGGCGUCACACGUGCUACAAUGAUCGGGACAAAGGGUCACGACCCCGCGAGGGAAAUCUAACCUCAAAAACCCAGCCUCAGUUCGGAUUGUAGGAUGCAACUCGCCUGCAUGAAGUCGAAAUUGCUGAUAAUCAUCGGUCAAACAUACAACAAUGAAUCCGUUGUUGGGCCUUGUACACACUGCCCGUCACACUGUGGGAGUUGGCCAUGCCCCAAGUCAUUACCUUAACCACAAGGAGGGGGAUUCCAAGGGCUGGGCUAGUGACUGAAGUGAAUUUGUAACAAGGUAGCCAUACUAGAAGGUGUGGUUAGAUCACCUCCUUU
rnacentral:ncRNA from 1 species